GUAGGAGCUGGCGAAGCCUGCGAUCUUUUCCGAGCUUCCUUGAGUUUCAAGUGAAAGAUCAAAAGAUCGCAGGCUUCGCCAGCUCCUAC
rnacentral:antisense_RNA from 1 species